ACCAUCAUGAUCAUCUAGCGUGACUUGCACAUUGCAGGCCACAGAACCUCACCCAUCCACUCCUGUAAAAGACCUCUAACCUCCGGCUGAGUGACUGAAGUCUUCAAAUCAAGGUUUAAAGACAUCAAAAGAGCAAAGAAUCC